CAGUCGCCGCGGGAAUACGAAGGGGGCUAGCGUUGUUCGGAAUCACUGGGCGUAAAGGGUGCGUAGGCGGAUUCUUAAGUCAGGGGUGAAAUCCCGAGGCUCAACCUCGGAACUGCCUUUGAUACUGGGGAUCUUGAGUCCGGAAGAGGUGAGUGGAACUGCGAGUGUAGAGGUGAAAUUCGUAGAUAUUCGCAAGAACACCGGUGGCGAAGGCGGCUCACUGGUCCGGAACUGACGCUGAGGCACGACAGCGUGGGGAGCAAACAGGAUUAGAUACCCCCGUAGUCCCUGUCUCUUAUAC
rnacentral:rRNA from 1 species